GGUUAAGCGACUAAGCGUACACGGUGGAUGCCUAGGCAAUCAGAGGCGAUGAAGGACGUGCUAAUCUGCGAUAAGCGUCGGUAAGGUGAUAUGAACCGUGAUAACCGACGAUUUCCGAAUGGGGAAACCCAGUGCAAUCCGUUGCACUAUCGUUUGAUGAAUACAUAGUCAAACGAAGCGAACCGGGGGAACUGAAACAUCUCAGUACCCCGAGGAAAAGAAAUCAACCGAGAUUCCCCUAGUAGCGGCGAGCGAACGGGGAGCAGCCCAGAGUCUUAAUCAACAUUAGCAUCAGGAGAACGGUCUGGAAAGGCCGGCAGUAAAGGGUGAUAGCCCCGUAUCCGAAGGUGUUAGUGUUGUGAACUCGACGAGUAGGGCGGGACACGUGUUAUCCUGUCUGAAUAUGGGGGGACCAUCCUCCAAGGCUAAAUACUCCUGAUUGACCGAUAGUGAACCAGUACCGUGAGGGAAAGGCGAAAAGAACCCCGGCGAGGGGAGUGAAAUAGAACCUGAAACCGUGUACGUACAAGCAGUGGGAGCACCUUUAGGGGUGUGACUGCGUACCUUUUGUAUAAUGGGUCAGCGACUUAUAUUCUGUAGCAAGGUUAACCGUAUAGGGGAGCCGUAGGGAAACCGAGUCUUAACUGGGCGAAUGAGUUGCAGGGUAUAGACCCGAAACCCGGUGAUCUAGCCAUGGGCAGGUUGAAGGUUGGGUAACACUAACUGGAGGACCGAACCGACUAAUGUUGAAAAAUUAGCGGAUGACUUGUGGCUGGGGGUGAAAGGCCAAUCAAACCGGGAGAUAGCUGGUUCUCCCCGAAAGCUAUUUAGGUAGCGCCUCGUGAACUCAUCUUCGGGGGUAGAGCACUGUUUCGACUAGGGGGUCAUCCCGACUUACCAACUCGAUGCAAACUACGAAUACCGAAGAAUGUUAUCACGGGAGACACACGGCGGGUGCUAACGUUCGUCGUGAAGAGGGAAACAACCCAGACCGCCAGCUAAGGUCCCAAAGUCAUAGUUAAGUGGGAAACGAAGUGGGAAGGCUCAGACAGCCAGGAUGUUGGCUUAGAAGCAGCCAUCAUUUAAAGAAAGCGUAAUAGCUCACUGGUCGAGUCGGCCUGCGCGGAAGAUGUAACGGGGCUAAACUAUGCACCGAAGCUGCGGCAGCGAUAUGUAAAUAUUGUUGGGUAGGGGAGCGUUCUGUAAGCCUGUGAAGGUGUACUGUGAGGUAUGCUGGAGGUAUCAGAAGUGCGAAUGCUGACAUAAGUAACGAUAAUGCGGGUGAAAAACCCGCACGCCGGAAGACCAAGGGUUCCUGUCCAACGUUAAUCGGGGCAGGGUGAGUCGACCCCUAAGGCGAGGCAGAAAUGCGUAGUCGAUGGGAAACGGGUUAAUAUUCCCGUACUGGUGAUAAUUGCGAUGGGGGGACGGAGAAGGCUAGGCUAUCCGGGCGACGGUUGUCCCGGUUUAAGGAUGUAGGCAGGUGAAUUAGGCAAAUCCGGUUCACUACAUGCUGAGGUCCGAUGACGAGUCACUACGGUGAUGAAGUAGCUCAUGCCCCGCUUCCAGGAAAAGCCUCUAAGCUCUAGAUUAUCAUUAAUCGUACCCCAAACCGACACAGGUGGUCAGGUAGAGAAUACUCAGGCGCUUGAGAGAACUCGGGUGAAGGAACUAGGCAAAAUGGUGCCGUAACUUCGGGAGAAGGCACGCUGGCGCUAGGUGAAGUCCCUCGCGGAUGGAGCUGAAGCCAGUCGCAGAUACCAGCUGGCUGCAACUGUUUAUUAAAAACACAGCACUGUGCAAACACGAAAGUGGACGUAUACGGUGUGACGCCUGCCCGGUGCUGGAAGGUUAAUUGAUGGGGUUAUCCGUAAGGAGAAGCUCUUGAUCGAAGCCCCAGUAAACGGCGGCCGUAACUAUAACGGUCCUAAGGUAGCGAAAUUCCUUGUCGGGUAAGUUCCGACCUGCACGAAUGGCGUAAUGAUGGCCAGGCUGUCUCCACCCGAGACUCAGUGAAAUUGAACUCGCUGUGAAGAUGCAGUGUACCCGCGGCAAGACGGAAAGACCCCGUGAACCUUUACUAUAGCUUGACACUGAACAUUGAGCCUUGAUGUGUAGGAUAGGUGGGAGGCUUUGAAGCGUGGACGCCAGUCUGCGUGGAGCCAACCUUGAAAUACCACCCUUUAAUGUUUGAUGUUCUAACGUAGCCCCGUUAUCCGGGGUGCGGACAGUGUCUGGUGGGUAGUUUGACUGGGGCGGUCUCCUCCCAAAGAGUAACGGAGGAGCACGAAGGUUGGCUAAGCAUGGUCGGACAUCAUGCGGUUAGUGCAAAGGCAUAAGCCAGCUUGACUGCGAGAGUGACGGCUCGAGCAGGUACGAAAGUAGGUCUUAGUGAUCCGGUGGUUCUGAAUGGAAGGGCCAUCGCUCAACGGAUAAAAGGUACUCCGGGGAUAACAGGCUGAUACCGCCCAAGAGUUCAUAUCGACGGCGGUGUUUGGCACCUCGAUGUCGGCUCAUCACAUCCUGGGGCUGAAGUAGGUCCCAAGGGUACGGCUGUUCGCCGUUUAAAGUGGUACGCGAGCUGGGUUUAGAACGUCGUGAGACAGUUCGGUCCCUAUCUGCCGUGGGCGUUGGAAGAUUGAAAGGGGCUGCUCCUAGUACGAGAGGACCGGAGUGGACGCACCACUGGUGUUCGGGUUGUCAUGCCAAUGGCAUUGCCCGGUAGCUAAGUGCGGAAGAGAUAACCGCUGAAAGCAUCUAAGCGGGAAACUUGCCUUGAGAUGAGUCUUCCCUGACUCUUUAAGGGUCCUAAAGGAACGUUUAAGACUAAGACGUUGAUAGGUUGGGUGUGUAAGCGUAGCGAUAUGUUGAGCUAACCAAUACUAAUGAACCGUGAGGCUUAACCUG
rnacentral:rRNA from 1 species